rnacentral:miRNA from 1 species
AUUUUCUGCGACUAAUUUUUCA